AGGCGCGUAGCUCAGUUGGUUAGAGCGCUUGCCCGACACGCAAGAGGUCGGCGGUUCGAAUCCGCCCGCGCCUACCA
rnacentral:tRNA from 10 species